GGGUGGUUGCCGGAGUAGACAAACGGGUCUGACUGUAAAUCAGAUGGCUUCUAGCCUACGGGGGUGCAAAUCCCUCACCACCCACCA
rnacentral:tRNA from 1 species